rnacentral:rRNA from 1 species
AACGAACGCUGGCGGCAGGCUUAACACAUGCAAGUCGAGCGCCCCUCCUUCAAGCGAGCUUGAAGGAUUUAUCCUUGGAAAGGAAGUUCAGUCGAGCUUUUAAGAAGCUCGCUUGAUGGAGGGGAGCGGCAGACGGGUGAGUAACGCGUGGGAAUCUACCCUUGACUACGGAAUAACGCAGGGAAACUUGUGCUAAUACCGUAUGUGUCCUUCGGGAGAAAGAUUUAUCGGUCAAGGAUGAGCCCGCGUUGGAUUAGCUAGUUGGUGGGGUAAAGGCCUACCAAGGCGACGAUCCAUAGCUGGUCUGAGAGGAUGAUCAGCCACAUUGGGACUGAGACACGGCCCAAACUCCUACGGGAGGCAGCAGUGGGGAAUAUUGGACAAUGGGCGCAAGCCUGAUCCAGCCAUGCCGCGUGAGUGAUGAAGGCCCUAGGGUUGUAAAGCUCUUUCACCGGAGAAGAUAAUGACGGUAUCCGGAGAAGAAGCCCCGGCUAACUUCGUGCCAGCCGCCGCUGUAACAC